rnacentral:rRNA from 1 species
UACGUAGGGUGCAAGCGUUGUCCGGAAUUAUUGGGCGUAAAGAGCGUGUAGGCGGCCUGAAAGGUCAGCUGUGAAAACUCGAGGCUCAACCUCGAGACGUCGGUUGAAACCAUCUGGCUAGAGUCCGGAAGAGGAGAGUGGAAUUCCCGGUGUAGCGGUGAAAUGCGCAGAUAUCAGGAGGAACACCGGUGGCGAAGGCGGGUCUCUGGGCCGAUACUGACGCUGAGGAGCGAAAGCGUGGGGAGCGAACAGG